AUUGGCACGUGGCAUUUAAGAGACAAGCACAGUUUCAGAAUGUGAAAUCGCCAUGGUAAUGCUCUUCGUAACAUACUGGCUCAGGCAGAGAAUGGCACAGACUUAACUUUCUGGAAUAUAAGCCGCCUGCUGUUGACAUGGAAAGCCUCUGAACAUCUUUACUAGGGAGGUUGUAAAGAUGAUUAGAAAUGUCUGCUGAUCCUGGAAGUGAAGCAUCACUUGAAACUCUCCAUUUGCCUUUUGGAGGUGACUAGGGAAGUGUUUCCAUAAGACCUGGAAGACAAGACAUAAUGUGGGGACACAAAGGCAGAUGAAGACUUAUUGCUCAUUCUUCUUUUUUCCACUUCCUGAAAUAGACAGUCCUUCCCUCCUGAUCCAAACCCGAUUCAUUGUGUCAUAUCUAACUAAAAUGGCACCUUUCCUAAGAGUGCUUGUUCUUUGUGACUCCAGGACGUUCUAUCAGCCAUUGUUGUGGAUACCCUUCCCCACACAUUUUAGAGCUCCAAGUACAGCACAGUGAUGGCAUUUCAUGCUCCUUGGAACCUGUGAGGUGGGUGCCACAUCGUCUUCACUUUUUGGAUGUGAAAGCUGAAGCUCAGAGGUCCUGUCACCAGUCUAUGUGUCAAGGUCAUACACAUCAGUUAGUGAACAGCCAGGGUCUGCAGCCUCACUGUCCAGCUUCGGGGGGCUCCACGCGGAAACUCCCUGCAGUUCUCUGUUCUCCGCGGUAACCUCACUCGUGGAUUCCUUUAAGGCCUAUUCUUUUAUCUUCAACUAAACCAUGAAUCCCUUGAUGACAGCUUUUGUCUUGUACUUUUUUUUACAUCUGGAUAGCCACUUCACAAAAGAAUACCUGCAGGAGUCUAUCAUACGUGCACUGAUUGAGAUGGAUCAUGUGAGGAUAUGUAAAACCAGAGACUCAAAAAAUAGCAAACUGAACAUUUAGAUAAGGAAUCAAGGUGAAGAUGGAUAAACAUGCAAGUUUGAAAGAAAGCAGGAACAAGGCAAUCCAACUUGUAUUUUCUGUAAGCUGGCGGCAGAACAUUUAACUGCCAGCUCCUGACAAGGUUUGGAAAACUCAUCAGUGGGAAAGCAGCCAAAACACUGCUCAAGCAUGGGUGGUCACCAGCAGCAAAGGAGGGAAAGCAAGCCAGAAAGAAAGAAGGAAAGAGAGAGUUUUUAUAUAAGUGCUUUCCCAUGAUGUUCUAGCUAUG
rnacentral:lncRNA from 1 species